AGAGUUUGAUCCUGGCUCAGAACGAACGCUGGCGGCGUGCUUAACACAUGCAAGUCGCGUGCGCAGUUGCCGUAGCAAUACGGUGAUGGGCGCACGGCGCACGGGUGCGUAACACGUGGGCAAUCUACCCUUUGAUGGGGAAUAACCCGCCGAAAGGCGGGCUAAUUCCGCAUAAGAUUCCCGAGACUUCGGUCUUGGGAUUGAAAGCAGCAAUGCGUCGAAGGAGGAGCCCGCGCCCGAUUAGCUAGUUGGUGAGGUAACGGCUCACCAAGGCUAUGAUCGGUAGCUGGUCUGAGAGGAUGAUCAGCCACACUGGAACUGAGACACGGUCCAGACUCCUACGGGAGGCAGCAGUGGGGAAUCUUGCACAAUGGGCGAAAGCCUGAUGCAGCGACGCCGCGUGGGGGAUGAAGCAUUUCGGUGUGUAAACCCCUUUCGACUGGGACGAAUGCCUCGCAAGAGGAGUGACGGUACCAGUAGAAGAAGCCCCGGCUAACUACGUGCCAGCAGCCGCGGUAAGACGUAGGGGGCCAGCGUUGUUCGGAAUUACUGGGUGUAAAGGGUUCGUAGGCGGUGCGGCAAGUUGGGAGUGAAAUCUCUGGGCUCAACCCAGAGGCUGCUUCCAAAACUGCUGUGCUCGAGUGUGAGAGAGGCGCGUGGAAUUGCAGGUGUAGCGGUGAAAUGCGUAGAUAUCUGCAGGAACACCCGUGGCGAAAGCGGCGCGCUGGAUCACUACUGACGCUGAGGAACGAAAGCUAGGGGAGCAAACAGGAUUAGAUACCCCCGUAGUCC
rnacentral:rRNA from 1 species